UGGGGAAUAUUGCACAAUGGGCGCAAGCCUGAUGCAGCCAUGCCGCGUGUGUGAAGAAGGCCUUCGGGUUGUAAAGCACUUUCAGCGGGGAGGAAGGCGUUAAGGUUAAUAACCUUGGCGAUUGACGUUACCCGCAGAAGAAGCACCGGCUAACUCCGUGCCAGCAGCCGCGGUAACACGGAGGGUGCAAGCGUUAAUCGGAAUUACUGGGCGUAAAGCGCACGCAGGCGGUCUGUCAAGUCGGAUGUGAAAUCCCCGGGCUCAACCUGGGAACUGCAUUCGAAACUGGCAGGCUAGAGUCUUGUAGAGGGGGGUAGAAUUCCAGGUGUAGCGGUGAAAUGCGUAGAGAUCUGGAGGAAUACCGGUGGCGAAGGCGGCCCCCUGGACAAAGACUGACGCUCAGGUGCGAAAGCGUGGGGAGCAAACAGG
rnacentral:rRNA from 1 species